rnacentral:lncRNA from 1 species
AAACCCUAAGCCCAGCCCAAACCUAAACAAUUUUCAGCAAAAAAAGAGAGGAGAAGAACCCUAGCCGCCGCCCCACCUUGGCCCGCCACUACCAGUUGUCUGCCACCAGCACACCCACUUGCCUCCACCACUCUAUGCCUGCAAAAGAAGACAAAAAAGGACAGCAAAGAAAAACACCAAAAAAUGAAAUUCUUUGUAUUUUUUUUGAUUUUGGGCUAUAUAAAAGCCCUAUGGUCAUUGUAUUUAGGGGGGAUUUGGAUGUUUUUCAGGGGAGAUUUCAAAGGGAAGAAUCGGUUGUAUUUUGGGGGGACCCCCUUUUUUUUUUUCCUCUUCUCUCUUUCAAUUUCUUAACCAAAAGCAAACAAUUGAUAUCCGAAAUACUACAAUCUUAACAUCAAAAGGCAGAGAUUCGAACACCCAAAAAUCAGUAAAUCAACAAGUCAAAAAUCAGAACCGGAAACCUAAGGUGGUUGUGAAUCUAUUCUUGUUUUGUCUUUUGUUCUAUUUUCCCAUAUAUAUAUAUACUAAAAAAAUAUAAAAAUAACAAUAUAAUAUAAACAUAAAAAAAUAAAAAAAAUAUUUUUUUUACCUUUUCUGGCCACCGCGUGCGGUGGCCGACGCCGGCGCCGGCGAGCCUCCGGUGGCCGUCCGGUGACCGGCCCCCCUGGCCGGAUUUUCCUUCCCCCCUCCCUUCUCUCUCCCUUCUCUCUUCCCUCUCUCUUCUUUUUUUUUUCUUUCCC